rnacentral:rRNA from 1 species
UCCCAGACUCCUACGGGAGGCAGCAGUGGGGAAUAUUGCACAGUGGGGGAAACCCUGAUGCAGCGACGCCGCGUGAGUGAAGAAGUAUUUCGGUAUGUAAAGCUCUAUCAGCAGGAACGAGACAAGACGGUACCUGACUAAGAAGCCCCGGCUAACUACGUGCCAGCAGCCGCGGUAAUACGUAGGGGGCAAGCGUUAUCCGGAAUCACUGGGUGUAAAGGGAGCGUAGACGGCUGUGCAAGCCUGAAGUGAAAGGCGGGGGCCCAACCCCUGGACUGCUUUGGGAACUGUACGGCUGGAGUGCAGGAGAGGUAAGUGGAAUUCCUAGUGUAGCGGUGAAAUGCGUAGAUAUUAGGAGGAACACCAGUGGCGAAGGCGGCUUACUGGACUGUAACUGACGUUGAGGCUCGAAAGCGUGGGGAGCAAACAGGAUUAGAUACCCGAGUA